rnacentral:rRNA from 1 species
GACGAACGCUGGCGGCGUGCUUAACACAUGCCAGUCGUACGGUAAGGCCCUUUCGGGGGUACACGAGUGGCGAACGGGUGAGUAACACGUGAGUAACCUGCCCACAACUUUGGGAUAACGCUAGGAAACUGGUGCUAAUACUGGAUAUGUGCUCCUGCUGCAUGGUGGGGGUUGGAAAGCUCCGGCGGUUGUGGAUGGACUCGCGGCCUAUCAGCUUGUUGGUGGGGUAGUGGCCUACCAAGGCGGCGACGGGUAGCCGGCCUGAGAGGGUGACCGGCCACAUUGGGACUGAGAGACGGCCCAGACUCCUACGGGAGGCAGCAGUGGGGAAUAUUGCACAACGGGCGCAAGCCUGAUGCAGCAACGCCGCGUGCGGGAUGACGGCCUUCGGGUUGUAAACCGCUUUCAGCAGGGACGAAGCUUUUUGUGACGGUACCUGCAGAAGAAGCACCGGCUAACUACGUG